rnacentral:rRNA from 1 species
AGCGAACGCUGGCGGCAGGCCUAACACAUGCAAGUCGAACCAACCUUUCGGGGUUAGUGGCGGACGGGUGAGUAACACGUGGGAACGUGCCUUUAGGUUCGGAAUAACUCAGGGAAACUUGUGCUAAUACCGAAUGUGCCCUUCGGGGGAAAGAUUUAUCGCCUUUAGAGCGGCCCGCGUCUGAUUAGCUAGUUGGUUGAGGUAAUGGCUCACCAAGGCGACGAUCAGUAGCUGGUCUGAGAGGAUGGUCAGCCACAUUGGGACUGAGACACGGCCCAAACUCCUACGGGAGGCAGCAGUGGGGAAUCUUGCGCAAUGGGCGAAAGCCUGACGCAGCCAUGCCGCGUGAAUGAUGAAGGUCUUAGGAUUGUAAAAUUCUUUCACCGGGGACGAUAAUGACGGUACCCGGAGAAGAAGCCCCGGCUAACUUCGUG